rnacentral:rRNA from 1 species
UAAACCGGUCAUAGUUUACCGGAUAUAUGCCACUCACGUGGAUAACUGUGGUAAUUCUAGAGCUAAUACAUGCAAACAAGUCCCGACCAGCGAUGGAGAGGACGCUUUUAUUGGAUCAAAACCAUUCGCCCGAGCUAAUCGGGCGUCGGCUUGAUGACUCUAGAUAACACCACAGAUCGCACGGUCACAGUACCGGUGACAUAUCCUUCAAAUGUCUGACUUAUCAGCUGUCGAUGGUAGACUCUGUGUCUACCAUGGCUCUCACGGGUGACGGGGAAUCAGGGUUCGAUUCCGGAGAGGGAGCCUGAGAAACGGCUACCACAUCCAAGGAAGGCAGCAGGCACGCAAAUUACCCACUCCCGGCACGGGGAGGUAGUGACAAAAAAUAACGAUACGGGACUCAUCCGAGGCCCCGUAAUCGGAAUGAGAACACCCUAAAUCCUUUAACGAGGAUCUAUUGGAGGGCAAGUCUGGUGCCAGCAGCCGCGGUAAUUCCAGCUCCAAUAGCGUAUAUUAAAGUUGUUGCGGUUAAAAAGCUCGUAGUUGGUUCUGCGUGCCACGCUGUCGGUUCACCGCCUGCCGGUGCAACUGGCAUGCCGUGGCAUGUCCUGUCGGUGGCGGAUAGGCUUCGCGGCGUGCCCUAUGCGGUAUACCAGCGUGUAGGUUGUUGCGCCGCGUUGUCCUUGUACGCCGGCUCAAUCCUACCGCGGUGCUCUUUACCGAGUGUCGAGGUAGGCCGACACUGUUUACUUUGAACAAAUUAGAGUGCUUAAAGCAGGCUC